rnacentral:piRNA from 1 species
UAUGGUGAACUUCAGGUUAGCCCUG